CAAGCAUAGACCAAAGACACAAGGAAAGCGGGGCUCUUGUUGAUGGAACAAGAUUUAGAAUCCCAGAGAAAAGGAAAGUCCUGAAGAAUCAGGAAAAUGUAUGGCUGCAGAAGUUGAAUGGGAGCAGUGGAAGAACCUGCCAAUAUCAAAUAUGAAACAGGACAACAACAAGCAGGAAAACCCCACGAUAAAAAAUUAGGCCAGCUGGGCGCUGUGGCUCAUGCCUGUAAUCCCAGCACUUUAGAAGGCCAAGGUGUGGCAGAUCACUUGAGGCCAGGAGUUUGAGACCAGCCUGGACAUCAUGGUGAAACUCCGUCUCUACUAAAAAUACGAAAAUAAGCUGGGCGUGGUGGCGGAUGCCUGUAAUCCCAGCUACUAGGGAGACUGAGGCAGGAGAAUUGCUUGAACCCGGGAAGCAGAGGUUGCAGUGAGCUGAGAUUGCACAAUUGCACUCCAGCCUGGGUGACAGAGUAAGACUCUGUCUCAAGAAAAAUAAAAAAAAACAAAAAAUAAAAAAAUAAAAAUUUAGAUCAGUGUCUCUUGUGGGUUUCCUUAUGGAAUUAAGGCCUGUGGGAAGCGCUGGAAGCCGUCAUCUGUUGACAGACUGUUGGACGGGUUUGAAUGGCUUCUGAAGUAGAUUCAGCAAUUUCCCCUCCUUGCCCUUUCCUGCCGCUCAUGCUUUGUAAGGAUAGCGUUUGUUAGAGCUCCCUCUACCCCUCAUGUGGAAACCUCAGCCUCCUUCUGCCUUCCUUCCCCUCAUCCCACCUCUGCAGAGAGGAAUUGAACAAAGGGAAAAGCAGGACAGGGACCUGCGGGAAGCCUUGUUGGGGCGGGGGGCUUCUGGCUCACACUCCUUCCACCUGUGGUGUCCACAUCCAGC
rnacentral:lncRNA from 1 species